GUGGGGAAUAUUGGACAAUGGGCGAAAGCCUGAUCCAGCCAUGCCGCGUGUGUGAAGAAGGUCUUCGGAUUGUAAAGCACUUUAAGUUGGGAGGAAGGGCAGUAAGUUAAUACCUUGCUGUUUUGACGUUACCGACAGAAUAAGCACCGGCUAACUUCGUGCCAGCAGCCGCGGUAAUACGAAGGGUGCAAGCGUUAAUCGGAAUUACUGGGCGUAAAGCGCGCGUAGGUGGUUUUGUAAGUUGGAGGUGAAAUCCCCGGGCUCAACCUGGGAACUGCCUCCAAAACUGCAUGACUAGAGGACGGUAGAGGGUAGUGGAAUUUCCUGUGUAGCGGUGAAAUGCGUAGAUAUAGGAAGGAACACCAGUGGCGAAGGCGACUACCUGGACUGAUACUGACACUGAGGUGCGAAAGCGUGGGGAGCAAACAGGAUUAGAUACCCCAGUAGUCC
rnacentral:rRNA from 1 species